rnacentral:tRNA from 1 species
GUCUGGUCAGCUCAGUCAGUAGAGCAGGUGACUCCUGAUCUCAGGGUUGUGAGUUCAAGCCCCACACUGGGUG